rnacentral:rRNA from 1 species
UACGUAGGGUGCGAGCGUUGUCCGGAAUUACUGGGCGUAAAGAGUUCGUAGGCGGUUUGUCGCGUCGUUCGUGAAAACUUGGGGCUUAACUCCAAGCGUGCGGGCGAUACGGGCAGACUUGAGUACUACAGGGGAGACUGGAAUUCCUGGUGUAGCGGUGAAAUGCGCAGAUAUCAGGAGGAACACCGGUGGCGAAGGCGGGUCUCUGGGACGGUACUGACGCUGAGACGCGAAAGCGUGGGGAAGCGAACAGG